rnacentral:rRNA from 1 species
GAUGAACGCUAGCGGCAGGCUUAAUACAUGCAAGUCGUGGGGCAGCAGGACUGUAGCAAUACAGUUGCUGGCGACCGGCAAACGGGUGCGGAACACGUACGCAAUCUACCCAGAACUGGUGAAUAGCCCUCCGAAAGGAGGAUUAAUACACCGUAAUAUUAUAAAGUGGCAUCACUUAAUAAUUAAAGCUCCGGCGGUUUUGGAUGAGCGUGCGGCCCAUUAGGUAGUUGGUUGAGGUAAUGGCUCACCAAGCCUGCGAUGGGUAACUGGUGUGAGGGCACGACCAGUCACGCGGGCACGGAGACACGGGACCGACUCCUACGGGAGGCAGCAGUAAGGAAGAUUGGUCAAGGGACGCAAGUCUGAACCAGCCAUGCCGCGUGGGGGAUGAAGGCCCUCUGGGUUGUAAACUUCUUUUAUGGGGGACGAAAUCACUUAUUCUUAAGUGUCUGACGGUACCCCAGGAAUAAGCACCGGCUAACUCCGUGCCAGCCGCCGCAGUAA